rnacentral:lncRNA from 1 species
GUUCAGAUGUACCACCUGAAAGCCCGGAGCGAUCCCUCCGCGGUGUCUCUCCCAGAGCAGCUCGUGCAGCAGGCGGCCGGAUCCCCUUCCACGGUUUUUGUCAAAAGCGUAAGCAAAUAUCUUAGCACCGUUUCCAUCAGCAUCUACCUCCAUGCGAGCCUCGAAGGAGAAGCUCUCCACCAGCGGGAUGUCCUGCUCGUCGAUCAGCGUGUAUUUGGUCUUGCCGGCCACGCGGCCGAGCCGCACGAUGCCCAGCUUGAAGUCCGUCAUGGCCGGGCCGGGCCGGGCCCGCGCUCAGCGCCUCGGAGCCCGCGAGCGGGAGCCGCUGCCACGCGCCGCCGCCUCGCGCACACCCGGGGAGGGGGGCGGGGCG